rnacentral:rRNA from 1 species
CCUACGGUGGGCAGCAGUGAGGAAUAUUGGUCAAUGGCCGCAGGGCUGAACCAGCCAAGUCGCGUGAGGGAUGACGGUCCUAUGGAUUGUAAACCUCUUUUGUCAGGGAGCAAAGAGCGCCACGUGUAGCGCUUUGCGAGUACCCGGAGAAAAAGCAUCGGCUAACUCCGUGCCAGCAGCCGCGGUAAUACGGAGGAUGCGAGCGUUAUCCGGAUUUAUUGGGUUUAAAGGGUGCGCAGGCGGAGUGUUAAGUCAGCGGUAAAAUUUCGGGGCUCAACCCCGUCCUGCCGUUGAAACUGGCGUGCUUGAGUGAGCGAGAAGUAUGCGGAAUGCGUGGUGUAGCGGUGAAAUGCAUAGAGAUCACGCAGAACUCCGAUUGCGAAGGCAGCAUACCGGCGCCCAACUGACGCUCAUGCACGAAAGCGUGGGUAUCGAACAGGAUUAGAUACCCUAGUAGUC